rnacentral:rRNA from 1 species
GUGGGGAAUCUUGCGCAAUGGGGGCAACCCUGAUGCAGCGACGCCGCGUGAGCGAUGAAGCCCUUCGGGGCGUAAAGCUCUUUCGACCGGAACGAUAAUGACGGUACCGGGAGAAGAAGCUGCGGCUAACUACGUGCCAGCAGCCGCGGUAAUACGUAGGCGGCAAGCGUUGUUCGGAGUUACUGGGCGUAAAGAGUGCGAAGGCGGUUUUCUAAGUUCGGUGUGAAAUCUCCCGGCUUAACUGGGAGGGUGCGCCGAAGACUGGGAAGCUGGAGUGUGGGAAAGGCAGGCGGAAUUCCUGGUGUAGCGGUGAAAUGCGUAGAUAACAGGAGGAACACCGGCGGUGUAGACGGCUUGCUAGACCAUAACUGACGCUGAGGCACGAAAGCGUGGGUAGCAAACA